rnacentral:tRNA from 1 species
GGGGGUGGUGGCCCAGUGGUGAAGCCUUUAGCCUGCCAUCCUAGGACUCGGGUUUGAGUCCCGGCGCUUCCA